GAUGAACGCUAGCUACAGGCUUAACACAUGCAAGUCGAGGGGAAACGACAUCGAAAGCUUGCUUUUGAUGGGCGUCGACCGGCGCACGGGUGAGUAACGCGUAUCCAACCUGCCCAUCACUUGGGAAUAACCUUGCGAAAGUAAGACUAAUACCCAAUGACAUCCCACGAAGACAUCUGAAUGGGAUUAAAGAUUUAUCGGUGAUGGAUGGGGAUGCGUCUGAUUAGCUUGUUGGCGGGGUAACGGCCCACCAAGGCAACGAUCAGUAGGGGUUCUGAGAGGAAGGUCCCCCACAUUGGAACUGAGCCACGGUCCAAACGCCUACGGGAGGCAGCAGUGAGGAAUAUUGGUCAAUGGGCGAGAGCCUGAACCAGCCAAGUAGCGUGCAGGAUGACGGCCCUAUGGGUUGUAAACUGCUUUUAUAAGGGAAUAAAGUGGGUCUCGUGAGACUUUUUGCAUGUACCUUAUGAAUAAGGACCGGCUAAUUCCGUG
rnacentral:rRNA from 1 species